ACUCCGGUUUUUAGAUGGCACGGGCGAAUGGAGCCCAGGCCAACCUGGGAGCCAGGACUGGCCGAACACUCUAGGCCCGAUCUUUAUCUUGAUUGUAAAGACGAUGUUUCCUGGGCAGCUGGAGGU
rnacentral:lncRNA from 1 species